rnacentral:rRNA from 1 species
GUGAACGCUAGUGAUAUGCUUAACACAUGCGAGUUUAAAUUCAUAUUAAAUAUGUGAAUAGCGUACGGGUGAGUAAUGCACAAGAAUAUACUUUAUACUUUAGAAAUUAAAAUCUAGAAGAGAAAAAUAGUAAUAAUUGUGAUUAUAUUAUUUUAUUUUUUUUUUAAAUUAAUAUUGGUGUAAAAUUAGCUUUUGUAGAAUUAGAUAGUUGGUGUGGUAAUGGCUCACCAAGUCUAUUAUUCUUAGUUGAUCUUAGCGGAUGAUCAACCACAUUGGGACUGAAACAUGGCCCAAGCUCUUUUUUGAGGCAGCAGUGAGGAAUAUUGGACAAUGAACGAAAGUUUGAUCCAGCAAUAUCACGUGAAUGAUGAAGGUUUAUUUUAUUGUAAAGUUCUUUCAAUGAGGAAGAUAAUGACAUUACUCAUAAAAGAAGUCCCGACUAACCUCGU